CUUGAACGCUGGCGGCAGGCCUAACACAUGCAAGUCGAGCGGAGCGGCGGACGGGUGAGUAAUGCCUAGGAAUCUGCCUGGUCGUGGGGGAUAACGUCCGGAAACGGGCGCUAAUACCGCCUACUCUCAGAUGAGCCUAGGUCGGAUUAGCUAGUUGGUGGGGUAAAGGCCUACAAAGGCGACGAUCCGUAACUGGUCUGAGAGGAUGAUCAGUAAAACUGGAACUGAGACACGGUCCCGACUCCGACGGGAGGCAGCAGUGGGGAAUAUUGGACAAUGGGCGAAAGCCGGCUCCAGCCAUGCGGCGUGUGUGAAGAAGGUAUUCGGAUUGGAAAGCACGUUAAGUUGGGAGGCGUUACCAACAGAAUAAGCACCGGCUAACUUCGUGCCAGCAGCCGCGGUAAUAC
rnacentral:rRNA from 1 species